GGGGUAGUCAUGGUUUCGACAGGGAUCUUGCAGCUGGAGAAGCUAUCCGCAGGCGAUGCGUCAAAUCGCAAACCUAAACUAAACGCUGAUAAUACAUUAGCAGUAGCUGCCUAAGCAGCUUUGUCCGCCUUAGUGCACCUACACAUUAAGAAUCGGGCAUCGACUUUGUAGGAAACGACGUAUGCAAAGCUUUGAGCAUACGGGCGUAUUAUGAAGCUACUGAUGAUAUAAGGGUGUUUGUUUCCUUAUAUCUGAGGGAAUGGGGCUUGCCCAAGAUAACAAACUAUGAUAGUAGAAGGACAGGGAAUGGGUUUUUGGACACGGGUUCGACUCCCGUCUACUCCACUA
rnacentral:tmRNA from 1 species